rnacentral:misc_RNA from 1 species
AGAGGAAUGUUUACUCUCACCUUUCUAAACAUAUCAAGAAUCCUCUUAUUUCUUGGAAUUUGUAAAUCUAAUAGGGAAGGAGGGUGGAACUUUAAAAACAGAAUUAGGAGCAGGAGGUGUUACCUUAGAUAUGUAGAUGAUGCACUCACCUCUUUUGAUGGUUUAAGCUCCUUUUCAACUUCAUUGGCUUUCUAUUUUUCUAUGGUUCUUUUUGGU